ensembl:lncRNA
GUGACAUCACGUGUGGCUCCCGUGGGGUCCCUGGCCAGGUGUGGGGGAGGGCGGCGCGGAGGUGGGUCACCCUGUGUCACCCUGUGUCACCCCGUGUCCCCAUGUCCUUGUGUCCCCACACCACGUGUCCCCAUGUCCCCACCUCCCCACACCACGUCCCGUGUCCCCACCCCGUGUGUCCCAGGUCCUCACACCCCAUAUCCCCAUGUCCCUGUGUCCCGAUGGCCCCGAUGGCCCCACUCCCCGUGUCCCCACGUCCCCACACUGUGUCGCGUGUCCCCAUGUCCCCAUGCCAUGUGUUGUGUGUCCCCGUGUCUCCCACACCACAUGUCCCCACGUCCCCACAUCCCAGUGUCCUCAAAUCCCCAUGUCCCAUGACCCUGUGUCCCCACACCCCGUGUCCCGUGUCCCCAUGCUGUGUGUCCUGUGUCCCAUGUCCCCAUGCCACGUCCCGUGUCCCAUGUCCCCACGCCGUGUGUCCCAUGUCCCCACUCCAUGUGUCCCAUGUCACCACACCACGUGUCCCAUGUCCCCACACCAUGUGUCCCGUGCCCCAUGUUCCCACACCGUGUGUCCUGUGUCCCAUGUCCCCACGCCGUGUGUCCCAUGUCCCCACUCCAUGUGUCCCAUGUCCCCACUCCGUGUCCCCACACCACGUGUCCCCACGCUGCAUGUCCUGUGUCUCCACGCCCCCACACCACAUGUCCCAUGUCCCCAUGUCCCCACGUCACAUGUCCCAUGUCCCCACACCGUGUAUCCCAUGUCCCCACGUCCCAUGUCCCACGUCCCCACACUGUGUCCCCCGUGUCCCCACACCACAUGUCCCAUGUCCCCAUGUCCCCACAUCACGUCCCAUGUCCUCACACCGUGUGUCCCAUGUCCCGACGCCGUGUGUCCCGUGUCCCCACUCCAUGUGUCCCAUGUCCCCACGCCGUGUGUCCCAUGUCCCCACGUCACAUGUCCCACGUCCCCACACCGUGUCCCCCGUGUCCCCACACCAUGUGUCCCAUGUCCCCAUGUCCCCAUGUCACAUGUCCCAUGUCCCCACACCAUGUGUCCCAUGUCCCCACACCAUGUGUCCCAUGUCCCCAUGUCCCCACAUCACAUGUCCCAUGUCCCCACACCUUGUGUCCCAUGUCCCCGUGUCCCCACGUCACAUGUCCCACGUCCCCACACCGUGUCCCCCGUGUCCCCACGCCUCGUGUCCCGUGUCCCCGCAGGCGCAGGCCAGCGCGGCGGCGGGGCGGGCGCUGGGGGAGCGGGUGGCCGCGGUGGCCGCGGGGACGGCCCGUGCGCGAGCCCAGGGCCACCACCUGCGCCAGGCACUGGAGGACGUCGGGGACGGGGCCGCGGCCACCGCUCGCCACGUGGCUGCUCUGCGGGCGCGCCUCAGGUGGGGACGGCACCUAUAGCACCCUGUGGGCACCUAUAGACCCCUAUGGGACCCUAUAGCCCCCUAUGGGCUCCUAUAGCACCCUGUGGGCACCUAUAGACCCCUAUGGGACCCUAUAGCCCCCUAUGAGACCCUAUAGCCCCCUAUGGGCUCCUAUAGCACCCUGUGGGCACCUAUAGCUUCCUAUGGGCUCCUAUAGCUUCCUAUGGGCCCCUAUAGCCCCCUAUGAGCUCCUAUAGCACCCUAUAGCCCCCAUAGACCCCAAUGUGACCCUAUGGACCCCUAUGGGCCCCUAUAGCCCCCUAUGGGACCCUAUAGCACCCUAUGGGUCCCUAUAGCCCCCUAUGGGCUCCUAUAGCACCCUAUAGCCCCCAUAGCUCCCUAUAGG